rnacentral:lncRNA from 10 species
CCAAGAUGGUGCCACUGCACUCCAGCCUGGGUGACACAGUGAGAAACUCCAUCUCAAAAAAAAAAAAAAAGAAGAAUAAGACUGUUUUUGGAUAGCACCAAUAACAGAAGGGGAUAUCUUCUCUCCCUGAUGAUCUUGGACAGAGGUUCAGCCGCAAGCUAGGACAAUCACUCUGAAACCCGCUCCAUCAUCAAAUGAACCACAGCAUGCCUGGGGCCCAGGGCUGCCCUGACUAGUGGGAAAUUUCACCUUCAGCCGCACGGCAGGAACUGUGCAGGUUCUAAUACCUGAAUAGCAGUUGGCAUUGAAUUUGACAGACAGUAAAGGGACUGAUAAAUCUUUAACCAGUUUUUAUUCUUUUGAUGUUUUAUAAUUUUUAUUUCAUUUCCAUCAAUGGAAUGGGAUAAAAAUGAUUGUGCCCAGUGAGAAGAUGUAACCCUAAUGUUGACCUACUCUAAACAUAGUGUGAAUUCUGAAACCCUCCCCACUUGUCAUAAUAAUUUCUCCUUCCACCUCUUCAUUUCUAUUUUCCCCCAGAACCUGUUGUCUGCCAUGACCAGGAGCUCCAUUCUCACACCUCUCUUUCUGGCCUCGCUCAUCUCAGCCCAUGUUGUCUCCUGGCCUGUUAAAUGUGUCCAUGACUACACAGAAAUUCCUGCCUAUUGCCUGCUUUCCUGAUGGAGAAGUUCAUGAUCUGCAAUAAUCAUCAGUGAACUGCAGCCUUUAUGCCAAUUCUGGCCCACUGCUUGUUUUUUUCAAUAAAGUUUUGUUGGAACACAGCCAUGACCAUCAUUUAUAUAUUGUAUGUGGAUGCUUUCCAGUUACAAUGGCAGAGAUGAGUAGUUGUCACAGGAGUCACAAAACCUAAAGUAUUUGUUAUCCGACCCUUUACAGAAAAUUUUGCUGACCACUGUUCCAUGUGAAUGAAGGUUUCUGAAGCAUUUGCACCUAGAGAAGAUUGUGAGAUAAUUAAGUCAUCAACCAGAUCAUGGUGGUAGACACCUGCCCUCACACUCAAAUAAACCUAGUGACCAGCAUUGGGCCUAGAAACAGAAAUCUUGAUGUUGCAAAAAGAUAUCACUUGUCACAUUAAAUUAAAGAUAUUAAGAAAUUGACUAGUCCUGUCAAAUAAAUUAAAAAAUUUAUUUGUAUUUAAUUUUUAAGUUUGUUUUGAUUUUAGAGUUAAUGUAAUAGCUUAAAAAAAGGGGGGAA